rnacentral:rRNA from 1 species
UACGGAGGGGGCUAGCGUUGUUCGGAAUUACUGGGCGUAAAGCGCACGUAGGCGGCUUUGUAAGUUAGAGGUGAAAGCCCGGGGCUCAACUCCGGAAUUGCCUUUAAGACUGCAUCGCUAGAAUUGUGGAGAGGUAAGUGGAAUUCCGAGUGUAGAGGUGAAAUUCGUAGAUAUUCGGAAGAACACCAGUGGCGAAGGCGGCGACCUGGGUCGAUACUGACGCUGAUGCGCGAAAGCGUGGGGAGCAAACAGG